CGGCCGCCGUCGCCGGUUUCGCGACGCCGUCUCCGCUCGUUAAUCAGGGAAUCCUCUGUCUCCUCCAGUUUUUGAAUUCGGGAGCCACGAAUAUGCUUACGAGAAUCAAUCGAAAAAUCGGAGCUAAUCUUCGAUGAUUCAUACUUCUGUGUUGCUGAUACAUCGAUUUUGCAUGGGAAAAUUACAUUCAUUCAUUCCAUGCCUACGCUCCAUAUUUGUAAUGCACAUACCAUGUUGAAUAAAAGGUUUCUUGAGAUGUUUUCUAAACAUAUCUUCAUUUGCUGUUUCUCCGCUGUUGUCUCUUUCGUGUACUCCUACGACGGUUGUGGUGGUCUCCGGUGAAGCGAUGGUUCGGAUUCCGAAGGUUCGAGUGUGGAUCACUGGGAGAGUUCGUGUUAAUCCCUUUUCCAUAUUUGUGCACCGGGAAAAUUCUGAGAUGCUGUGAUCGUGAGGGUGAGAUUCCCGGCGAUCGCUUCUCCACGAUCGUUGAAGAGUCUCUAUUUCGCCCUGUUUAGCUGUCUCUGUGUCCGAGAAAUUCAAAGCUCUCGCUUUCGAGACUUCUUCACCGGCGCCGAUCAUCAACAACGACGCGUCUGAGACCUCAACUUGCUAAUAUGAUCGCUGCCCGUGUCAGGUAAGUGCGCCUUGAAAGCAAGGGUUAAUACUCUGUUCUUGAGUUGUUUCCGGGUAAAAACUCUGCUCUGAAUGAAGACAUAUUGAGGAUUUUGGAUUCAAUUAUUGCUAGUUGUGAUGAAUUGAAAUGAAUGGAUGCUUGAGUUUGGAAUAUAAGAUGUUUGGCUGAGAUGCCUGCCACCUACUCGAUUAAAUUCCUGAACAGCAUACUGUUUUUCGCUAUUUUGAUAAUUCUUGACAUAUCAUAAUUGCUUGCCUCGGAUUUAUACAUCACCAAGUAUUGCUCGCCUUUGAUUUGUGGAUUCACGUAUCUCAGCUUCACAUUGUUUUAAAGCCUUGUGCAUGGUCGUUUCUAUUGUAAUCCGUACGAUGUAGUCCUGGUUUAAUCCUGUCUUCAAUGUUCUCGUUGCAUGUGUGAUGAUGAAUGGAGAGGAUAUGAAUCCCAUGGUGCCUGGAGUCGAUUGGCGGUUGUGCUCAGAGUCAUUACCUUCUCGAAUGCACCGCUAAUUCUAUCAUUGACUAUCAGAGCAUGGAUGAAGGUUUCGUAAGGUUGAAGGUCUUGACGAUGCAAAUGACACUAGAAGUGAAGAAAGAAAACAAAUUUCAUUCCAAACAGCAAGUCCAGAAACUUUAAGCGUCAAACAUCUACUGCCUUGGAACUAUUAGGAAAUCUCUCAUUUAAAUGAGAUGGAAGUUUGUGCAUCUAAGGAAUUGCUGGCCUAUAUAAACAGCUGAAUGAAAUGCAAGGGGUUAAUAUUAUGAAAAGAUACUAAAGAAGUUAUAUUGUGGACAAUAUUGCAUAAACAAAUAAAGUUAUGCCAAAUGUGAUCAAGACUCUUCGGCAGCCAAGUGUAAUGCAGGAAUAUAAACAAAUCAGUUGCCUCUUAGAUCGUGCUUAAAUCUCAUUUUUCUCUAAUCUUCUUAGUGUAUUAGUUCUUACCGUUGCCGCGAUUUCUGCUUUGGUUCUAGUUAUAUAAUUCUCUAUUUUGGC